UAUUUAAAUAACUUAGAAUGUUUAUUUGGUUCAGUUACUAUUACGUUGAAUUCAUCUGGUUUUAUGAAUGUAAUAAUGGAAUUGUGAUUUCUGCAAAAUAAAAAUAGUUUUCUACCCCUCGUGGUAGCAAGUUUUAAAAAGAAAAAAGGUUUCCGUGUGGGAAACAGUUUUUAAAAGGUUUUCUGGUGGUUUUUGUGUAACUUAGUAUUUCAAAACAAGUUUCCGGGUAGAAAAUAUUUUAAACUAAUAGUUGUGAAUUUAUGAUUAAACACUAAAUGUGAAUCUGUGGUGAAUGGUGAUGAAUGUAUGAUUGUUUGUAUGUUCAGUUGUGGUGGUUGUAUCACAUUAUGCAUCUUGUACUUGUGUGACGCCGUGCAAAUACAGUGGAGACUCUGUCCGUGUAAACAGUGGAUUCCAUGUAUUUGUUGCAGAUCUGGUAUACCCUGGGGGUCAGGUUUUCAAAAAAAAAAAUUGAGCGCUUCCGCAUUGCUUUUAAAUCAAAAAAAGGA
rnacentral:lncRNA from 1 species